AUAAUGGGUCAGCGACUUAUAUUCUGUAGCAAGGUUAACCGAAUAGGGGAGCCGAAGGGAAACCGAGUCUUAACUGGGCGUUAAGUUGCAGGGUAUAGACCCGAAACCCGGUGAUCUAGCCAUGGGCAGGUUGAAGGUUGGGUAACACUAACUGGAGGACCGAACCGACUAAUGUUGAAAAAUUAGCGGAUGACUUGUGGCUGGGGGUGAAAGGCCAAUCAAACCGGGAGAUAGCUGGUUCUCCCCGAAAGCUAUUUAGGUAGCGCCUCGUGAAUUCAUCUCCGGGGGUAGAGCACUGUUUCGGCAAGGGGGUCAUCCCGACUUACCAACCCGAUGCAAACUGCGAAUACCGGAGAAUGUUAUCACGGGAGACACACGGCGGGUGCUAACGUCCGUCGUGAAGAGGGAAACAACCCAGACCGCCAGCUAAGGUCCCAAAGUCAUGGUUAAGUGGGAAACGAUGUGGGAAGGCCCAGACAGCCAGGAUGUUGGCUUAGAAGCAGCCAUCAUUUAAAGAAAGCGUAAUAGCUCACUGGUCGAGUCGGCCUGCGCGGAAGAUGUAACGGGGCUAAACCAUGCACCGAAGCUGCGGCAGCGACGCUUAUGCGUUGUUGGGUAGGGGAGCGUUCUGUAAGCCUGCGAAGGUGUGCUGUGAGGCAUGCUGGAGGUAUCAGAAGUGCGAAUGCUGACAUAAGUAACGAUAAAGCGGGUGAAAAGCCCGCUCGCCGGAAGACCAAGGGUUCCUGUCCAACGUUAAUCGGGGCAGGGUGAGUCGACCCCUAAGGCGAGGCCGAAAGGCGUAGUCGAUGGGAAACAGGUUAAUAUUCCUGUACUUGGUGUUACUGCGAAGGGGGGACGGAGAAGGCUAUGUUGGCCGGGCGACGGUUGUCCCGGUUUAAGCGUGUAGGCUGGUUUUCCAGGCAAAUCCGGAAAAUCAAGGCUGAGGCGUGAUGACGAGGCACUACGGUGCUGAAGCAACAAAUGCCCUGCUUCCAGGAAAAGCCUCUAAGCAUCAGGUAACAUCAAAUCGUACCCCAAACCGACACAGGUGGUCAGGUAGAGAAUACCAAGGCGCUUGAGAGAACUCGGGUGAAGGAACUAGGCAAAAUGGUGCCGUAACUUCGGGAGAAGGCACGCUGAUAUGUAGGUGAAGUCCCUCGCGGAUGGAGCUGAAAUCAGUCGAAGAUACCAGCUGGCUGCAACUGUUUAUUAAAAACACAGCACUGUGCAA
rnacentral:rRNA from 1 species